rnacentral:rRNA from 1 species
GACGAACGCUGGCGGCGUGCCUAAUACAUGCAAGUUGAGCGCUGAAGGUUGGUACUUGUACCGACUGGAUGAGCAGCGAACGGGUGAGUAACGCGUGGGGAAUCUGCCUUUGAGCGGGGGACAACAUUUGGAAACGAAUGCUAAUACCGCAUAACAACUUUAAACACAAGUUUUAAGUUUGAAAGAUGCAAUUGCAUCACACAAAGAUGAUCCCGCGUUGUAUUAGCUAGUUGGUGAGGUAAAGGCUCACCAAGGCGAUGAUACAUAGCCGACCUGAGAGGGUGAUCGGCCACAUUGGGACUGAGACACGGCCCAAACUCCUACGGGAGGCAGCAGUAGGGAAUCUUCGGCAAUGGACGAAAGUCUGACCGAGCAACGCCGCGUGAGUGAAGAAGGUUUCCGGAUCGUAAAACUCUGUUGGUAGAGAAGAACGUUGGUGAGAGUGGAAAGCUCAUCAAGUGACGGUAACUACCCAGAAAGGGACGGCUAACUACGUGCCAGCCGCCGCGGUAA